rnacentral:sRNA from 18 species
GCCCCAGCUAGUCCGACCUCGAAGCUCGGACGAAAAGCCAGACCCCCGGCUGGCCUGCUGGGACUCCUUCAUCCGGGG